rnacentral:snRNA from 1 species
AUAUUUUUCAAUAAAAAAAAAAAAAUCUGUUCUUAUCAGUUUAAUAUCUGAUACGUCCCCUAUCUGGGGACCAUAUAUUAAAUGGAUUUUUGGAACAGGGAGAUGGAAGAAGAGCUUGCUCUGUCCACUCCACGCAUCGACCUGGUAUUGCAGUACCUCCAGGACCGGUGCACCUCUC